rnacentral:rRNA from 1 species
AGGGCCGCGGUAUUCUGACCGUGCGAAGGUAGCAUAAUCAGUAGCCUUUUAAUUUGGGGCUGGAAUGAAUGGUUGGAUGAGGUACAAGCUGUCUUUAUUUUUUAAUAUAACUUAACUUUUGAGUGAAAAGGCUUAAAUUAUGUAGGGGGACGAUAAGACCCUAUAAAACUUUAUAUAGGUAUUUUAAUUUUAAAAUUUGGUUUAAUUUUUGUUAAAAUAAUUUAUAUUUUGUUGGGGAGACAAGAAUAUAAUUUUAACUGUUCAUGGUAUUUAAUAUUAAUAAAUAGAUUAGGAUCCUUUUAUAUGGAUUAUAAGAAUAAGUUACUUUAGGGAUAACAGUGUAAUUUCUUUUGAGAGUUCUUAUCGAUAAAGUUAGUUGCAACCUCGAUGUUGAAUUAAAAUUUUAGGAAGGUGUAGCAGCUUUCUUUAUGGGUCUGUUCGACCUUUGAAAUUUU